UUCUUUUUAUUACUUCUGAUAAAACAAGCAAAACAAAAAAAUCAUAGAAUUUUCAAUGAGGAUCUCAUUAACAAUUUCAAGUUAUAAUAAUAUUAACAACUGUUACUGUGUUUCAUUAGUAAGAGGUUAUUUUUGCUAUUAAUCUUACCAUUCAUAAUUAUUUUUACACAUCUUCCUAGCCACUUAUAUGAUAGUGAAUAGAUUUUAGCUUGAGUCAAAUUGCAAUAUCUUUACCCCUGCUAUUUCUGAAAACUGGCAACUGCUCUCAUUUGUCUUCCCCCAGCUUGUAAUUGAGAGAGAAGAAAGCUGUUAUUGAAGAUCACACAUAUCAACAUAUACAUUUUGAGUAAUAAACUAAAGAAGGUAGACAUGACUAUUAAUUUCAGAAAAGUUCCCUCAAUAUUAAUUAAUUUUUGCCAUUAAUGAGACUGGCUAAUAUUUGUUAAGUAGGUAACGUUCUAAAUGCUCUCCAUACGAAAAUUCAUGAUUAUCUACAUCUAUUGAUGGAGAAAUUGAAGCAUAGAAUUUGUUCAAGGAUCCCAGUAAAUAAUGGAUCUAAGGCUCAUGCCCAGGUCUGUGGAAAAAAAUGCAAUAGGCUGCUUCCAAAACUGUACUCCGGUAUCUCAAAUCAUAGUUUAUUGUAAAGACCUAAUUUUAUUUUCUACAUUUAUUAUUCUGCAAUUCCUUUGAAUCUUAUUAAUGUGUUUAUUAUCCUGCAAUUCCUUUGGAUCUUAUUAGUGCUGUUGAAAAAUGGAUCUCAUUUCACUCUAAAAGCCUGUAGUUAAUAGAUGGGCUGUUUCAUUUUUUUUUUCAGAAAAUGAAAAAAUUUAAUUUAGUCAUUGUGAGGCUAUCUGUUUAGCUCAUUCUCUUGAGGUAUUGAUUUAAAUUGGUUUUAUUUCUACUCCCUAAAAAACUUAUAAUUGCUAUUUGUCUUCUGGAUUCCUUGAUAAAUACAAGUAGGUAACACAUAUAUGGUAAAAUUUAAACUACACACUACGUUUUACCGUUCUAUUCUUAUGAACUUAAUCAGGUGAAACCACCUAUUUUAUUGCAGUUAAGUGUAUUUUCUAUGGAUUAAAUCCCUAAUAACAUCAAGCAUCUUGAGUGAAUUUAUCAUGUCUACAGAGAUUUAUUUUUUCUGUUGACUUUUUUUUUUUUAAAAAAAGCAAAAAUUCCCCUCCCACAUAUACUUACCACAUUGGCACUGAUUUAAAAUUGUGUUAUUAAUAGGUAAUUCUAUAUAUAGAUGUACUUAGUAAGUUGUGCAUAGUUCUUUUCAUAUAAUGGCUCUGUGAUUUCAGAAUAACUUUUUCAGGAGGGGUUAAAAUAAAGAUAAAUUAUUGAACAGAAAUAUAUUCACUUUACAGUAAAAAUAUUGCAUAAAAUGUUCUCAUACUAAGGGUCAUAAACUUGCUUAAAAAAGUACUUUAUGAUUUAUGAUUUAGUUGACAUUGAUCUAACAGGCUUAUCUUCUAUUCCAUUUCAUUAGAAUCUUUAGGUAAUUAAAAAUGCUUUGAAAAAUAGAGUACAACAAACAAAGAAGUAAAAUAGGCAACAUGGAAAUGUCCUUCAUAAAAAUCCCAACUCCAUGAUGAUACUGAAUUCUGAGGCUAUUUAUUUAGAUAGAAGAUUAUUUUAUCUAUAUUUGUUCCUGCAUGAGAUUAUUAUCACCUGUAUAUAUUAGGUUCAAGCUCAAAAAGCUGACUCCCAUAGGAAAGAAGCUAGUAGAGCUAUACUUGUGGCAGUUUUCAAAAAUUCAAAGUCAAAACUAAGAUUAUCCCUGUGGAAGUAUCUGCAUAAUGCUAGACAUCUAAGACUGCUGAGCAGUAUGGUAGCUUAUAGCCAUACUUGACUAUUUGUUUUUGAAUAAUUAAAAUGAAAUAAUAUUAGAAAUUCAUUUGUUUAAAUACAAUAGCCACAUUGUAAGUUCAUAAUAGCCAUCAUCACAGGAAGUCCUGCAGGACAGCACUGAUCCAGACAAUCUGAAAUGCCAAUGAGUAUUUGUUAGGUAGAUUCUCAGUAUUCAUCCAGGUGUCUGGUAACAUAUAAAAGGAGUAGUGAGUUGUUUUCUCAGGCAUGACACAUUUAAAGAAGAUAAAUCAAUAGACUGGCACAGUGGCAUAUACCUAUAAACCCAGGGACUCAGGAGGCAGAGACAGGAGAGUCACAAGUUUGAGGUCAGUCUCAGGAACUUAGGGAGAUCCUGUUUCAAAAUAAAAAAAAAUUAGAGAAAACAUAACUAUAUAACUUAAAAAAUUUGUCAACUAAAAUUUCAUAGCACUUAUCAAACACCAGGCACUAAUUAGGCAAAGGUGAACACUGUGUGGUUUCUGACCUUGAAAGAAUGACAGCUGUGUGGAUGAGCUGGAGAAAUUUCCAAUCAUUACAGUGUGGUCUUAUUGUGCAAUGUGGCAUACUAAUUAAAGAAGACAUCAACUCUGUCUGGAGGACUUGAAGAAAACUUGAAAUAUGAGGUGAUAGUUGUGUUAUUAAAACGUGUUUUAGGAUGUGCAGUAGUAACAUGAAACAAAAAGCUAAGUUCUUACUGAUGUCUAAGUGAAUUUGGGAAUGACCCUGACCUUGAGGUAGUAUGCUGCCCCAACAUUCUGUACUAUUCUAAUGCUACAUACUGGAUUUUAUAGACAUAAUUUGUCCUAAUGUAUGUUUUUUAUUUUAUUUUUAUUUUUUUUUAGGAGAAUACUGAAAUAACAACAGGAGCUGCUCUAACCUAAGUGAAUGAACUAAUGAAAUACUCCCAAGUUCAUGCUGCUAAGUCAGGACUGGUGAUGCUACAUGAGAAACAGUGAUAGGAGAUGGAAACUUAUGUCAGUUCUGCCUUUGAACUUGAGGUAUGGAGUCUUGCAGAAGUUACAACCCUUCAUGAUGGAGUCAGACCCAGGAAUCAGAGUCAGAAGAAGGACCCAGAGGUGGGCAGAGCAGGCCUGGGUGCUGCCUCACACCAUCCAGGGCCACUUUCCCUGGACUCAGAAAGUUUGCUUCUGAGAAGUGCUUCUCAAAGCUGGUGGCCUCAGAGGCCGCACUCAGUGCGAAAUCUCUGGCCUGCAGAUCUGCUCAGGAUGUUCUGCGUGUUUCCAUAGCCUGGAUUGUUAAAUCUUUUCAGGAUCCCUUGGAGCCCUAAAGCCGGCUCCCUGCAGAAACAUGUGAUGAAGACUUGAUGAAUGCUGUGUCUGGUACACUGCCAUGUACGCAGGCUGUUUUGUGACAAAUACGAAUGGUCAAGUUCAUUGUAUAUAGUAGAGCAAAAUUCUACCUGUACUUGUACACACGAAUAUGACUGUCUUUAAAAACAGUUAUCCAGCAUUGUUCCCAUAGUGAAUACCUACAGGAGAGAUUUGCAAAUUGCCUGUGUUAUUAAUUCUCCCCACAAGUUGGCAGGAUGACUGGAUGAUAAUUAGGCCUCUCCUAAAUAAUUGGCCAAGUAGAACAUCAGAAGUAUGGAAGAUAAGAAGUUUCUGCUCUCUCCAUGUAAGUAAGAAGUAUUAUGAAAUUCUGUAGCAUUUUAGUCAGCUAGAGAGGCCUCAUUGAGCAAAUUCCUCUCCACUACCUCAGGGCCUUCAGCUCCAGGGUAUGAAUAAAAGAAGAAAGAAAAUUUCCACAGCUUAUUGGGAAACACAGGGAAGUCUGAGAAUAGAGAGUGACUGUUCCUGCCAGAAGGUCCCUGUUUUCAAGGAGAGAGUGAAUGCUAUUGUCAUGAUACCAGGGUGACUUGAUAACGAGGCAUUGUUUCUGUGGGUCUGUAGUCCUGGCACGAACCCAGGGGCAAUGUGGAAAGUGGGGAGACCACUUACUUGGGUGUGCUAGAAAAUAAUCUUCUAGUUAUAUUAGUCUCAGAUGCUUUAGCAGCCAAUGCAGUAAAGACAGGACAUUCCGAGAUGAGGUGGAGCAAGCUGCAUCUUAGAGAGGGCAAGUGAAGAGAAGCGGACCACACAGAGAUCAGACACCUCCAGUCCCGUUUCAAGACAGUAGGCAAGCAUCCAUCUAGAUCCAGACUCCUUCCUGAGGAGAAUGAGGGAAAGGGAGACUCACAGGAAUGCUGUCCUGAUAUGAAAUUUGAAUGGACUAAUUGAAUUCUCUGGAGGCUACGAGGAGUUAAAACAGGAAGUGACCAACAUUGCCUUUAAUUGGCAAAUGUUAAUGAGUCGCAUUUUCUGCAUCCUCUCCCAAUGUCCAAGCAUGUGCAAUGCAAACUGAGCUUAGUAAUAGACAAGAGAAAUUUAUUUCCUUAUGAGUUGUGAUGAAAAGAAAUAAAGUUGCUCUGUGUUCAAAAUAUAAGCCAUUUCCUACCAACUGUUUAGUUUGCUGUAUACCCUGAACCAUUAACUCAUUCUCUCUGAUAUCUACUUUGUAUAAUGUUGACAGAGAUUCUGGUAAGAAGAAAAACAAUAUAAAAAUCAUUGUAUCCACAUCUAAA